rnacentral:rRNA from 1 species
GUCCACGCCGUAAACGAUGUCUACUAGCCGUUGGGUUCCUUGAGGACUUAGUGGCGCAGCUAACGCAAUAAGUAGACCGCCUGGGGAGUACGGUCGCAAGAUUAAAACUCAAAUGAAUUGACGGGGCCCGCACAAGCGGUGGAGCAUGUGGUUUAAUUCGACGCAACGCGAAGAACCUUACCAGGUCUUGACAUCCAGAGAACUUUCCAGAGAUGGAUUGGUGCCUCGGAGCUCUGAGACAGGUGCUGCAUGGCUGUCGU